UCCCAGGUGGCUCAGACAGUAAAGAAUCUGCCUGCAAUGUAGGAGACCCAGGUUUGAUCCCUGGGUUGGGAA
rnacentral:tRNA from 1 species